UCUCUCCACCCUCAAUACCACGACUUAGGUGCCCUUGAGCAAGGCAUCGAACCCCCAACUGCUCCCCGGGCGCCGCAGCAUAAAUGGCUGCCCACUGCUCCGGGUGUGUGCUCACAGUGUGUGUGUGUGUGUGUUCACUGCUCUGUGUGUGUGCAUUUCGGAUGGCACAAAUUCUGAGUAUGGGUCACCAUACUUGGCUGAAUGUCACUUCACUUUCACUUUCAAA